rnacentral:tRNA from 2 species
GUCGUUAGCUCAGUUGGUAGAGCAGUUGACUUUUAAUCAAUUGGUCGCAGGUUCGUGUCGAACGCA